UAAGUAAAUUAAUUUUGCAAUACAGAAACUAGGAUUUCCAGUCUCCAAAAGCUUGAACCAAUUCAAUAAGAUUUGGUAUCGUGCUAUUCUACUAGCAUCGCUUUCUUCGUGUCCCUCCACAGAUUUCACUUCAUCAGGAGUUUUGCCAAUUUGAAGUUCACUUCAGGUUAUAUUUGAAUUUUGUAUCAAUUUCUUAAUAUUUUUCUUCUCUGAGACGAUGUAAUGUGGUCAUGCAUCAUUGAUUCUUCUUGUGCAUAGAAAUUAGUGAACAAGUUUCGGUGAAGGCUGAUCUUGAAAUUGCGAAUGCUUUGCUCAAGAAAUUGCUAGAGCAUAUCGAUGCAUUAAAAAAAAUUGCAUAAUGCUUUUAACGAAAAUGCGAAGCUACACGGUAAACAAAUUUGCAUCCUACCUGCCUGGUGAAAUGCGUAAGUAAGUACCUGUAGUGAAAUUUUAAUGUGUGUUUGUUAUUUGAAUUUGGUUCUGUUAUCUUUCCAAAUGAACAAAGUUUAAUGUAAACUCUGCCUAUUUGCCUACUCUUAAAGUUUUGACAUGAUGUAGCUAUAGAGAAAGAACUGGAAACCGCUAUCUUCAAGGCUGGUGGCAUCCAUGAUAGUAAUUUUGGGAUUCUUAACAAAGUUAAAUAGGGUCGAAGUAGCAGAACUGACAAAGGAGUAUCCUUCUUGUUAUUCCCUUUAUUAUAUAAGUUCGUUUUUGUUACUUGUUUUUAUAUAUCUUGAUUUCUGUUCACUUUUAUUAUGUGCACAUGCUAGGUCCACUCUCUGGAAAUAACAAUAUCCUUUAAGAUGGAAAUCCCUGAGAAUGCAUGGAAAGGAGAUAAUAAUGGUGCCUCCUCCAGGGAAAGGAUCACUAUGUAUUAGGCCAUUGCUCAUGGGAACAUGAGCUUUGUUAGGCUUGGCACCAGCACCUGAGUACACAUUUCUUGUUAUUGUUGCCCUGUCAGUUUCUACUACAAGAUUCUCGAGCUCCAAUAUGUGUACCACUUCCUUUACUAUUGAGUGGUUUCCCCAGUUUCAGUGCUUCAUCUCAAUAUCUUCUUGAUAAAAAAUUACAAGAAAAAAAAAUUCUUAUAAUUUUUUUUAUCAGGACCUUAUUACUGACAACAGCUGAUAUGAGAGCUGGUGCAAAAUUUGAGAAAAACCACCAUUUUGGAUCACUACUUUUCAUGGAAGAUGAUAAUAAGUUUCUUUUAGCCUGGCAGUUUCAGACAGGUGAAAAAUGAUGUAUCUUGGUUGAUUAUUGUUGACAGUCACACUCCCACAUUGUUGCUUAUG